rnacentral:piRNA from 1 species
UGAGUAGAGAAGCCGCUUCAUCAGCAAC